rnacentral:rRNA from 1 species
UGGGGAAUAUUGCACAAUGGGCGCAAGCCUGAUGCAGCCAUGCCGCGUGUAUGAAGAAGGCCUUCGGGUUGUAAAGUACUUUCAGCGGGGAGGAAGGGAGUAAAGUUAAUACCUUUGCUCAUUGACGUUACCCGCAGAAGAAGCACCGGCUAACUCCGUGCCAGCAGCCGCGGUAAUACGGAGGGUGCAAGCGUUAAUCGGAAUUACUGGGCGUAAAGCGCACGCAGGCGGUUUGUUAAGUCAGAUGUGAAAUCCCCGGGCUCAACCUGGGAACUGCAUCUGAUACUGGCAAGCUUGAGUCUCGUAGAGGGGGGUAGAAUUCCAGGUGUAGCGGUGAAAUGCGUAGAUAUAUGGAGGAACACCAGUGGCGAAGGCGGCCCCCUGGACAAAGACUGACGCUCAGGUGCGAAAGCGUGGGGAGCAAACAGG